rnacentral:lncRNA from 1 species
GUAUACGAGCGACGACAAGCGCGGCUGUCCAGGUCGAGUCACUAUGCCUGCAGACAAGCGCCGUGAGAGGCCCCCCGCAUACUAUAAAAGUUCAAGUCUGCAAUGAAACCGGCGCCGUAAAGGGAGAAUGCACGUGCAAGGCCGGUCUCUCUGGUCAAUGCAAACAUUUGUUUGCCACUUUGAUAUAUUUGAACAGGACAAGUGCCACUUCCCUGGAUUCAUUGUCAUGCACGGAUGUGCAACAACAGUGGGGACGUGCCAGUGCCGCCAGCAUCUACAAACCAAGGCCAAUUAGUUUGUUUUGCCACGUCGAGCAGCUUCAACCAAUAAGUGUCCCUGAAGAUGUUCAAGCCCUGAUUAGGAAAGAACUUAUUGAUGCAGUACCAAAUUCUGCACUGGCAAAACAGAAAACUCGUGCGAGAAAGUCAAUCCCUUUCACUAGCAAUUUGAACAUAGUCCGCGCCAUCGACACAAUUUUCACACAAGGUUGCUACUUGAGAGAGCACACAAAAUUUUCAUUUUUUGAAUCGGUGCUAGAUGGUGAAAAAACAGUACCGAAAAGGUUUACUCUUGAACAUCUCAAUGAAAAUGAAAAGAGUUUCUAUCUUCAAAAUGUGUGCCUCUCCUAUGCCAAAGCUAGGGAAAUAUGCCGCGAGACAACUGAUCAGUCAUCCACUCUGUGGCACAGCGAAAGAAAAAAAAGAA